rnacentral:rRNA from 1 species
GAUCAACGCUGGCGGCGUGCCUCAGACAUGCAAGUCGAACGAUUAAACUUCCUUUCGGGGAAGAUAUAAAGUGGCGUACGGGUGAGUAACACGUAGGUAAUGUACCUUUGGGUGGGAAUAACUUAGGGAACUUAAGCUAAUACCGCAUAAUGCAGCGGCUCGAUAUCGAGACAGUUGUUAAAGGAGUAAUCCGCCUAAAGAGCAGCCUGCGGCAGAUUAGCUAGUUGGUAAGGUAAUGGCUUACCAAGGCUACGAUCUGUAACCGACCUGAGAGGGUGGUCGGUCACACUGACACUGAAUAACGGGUCAGACUCCUACGGGAGGCAGCAGUCGGGAAUUUUGGGCAAUGGGCGAAAGCCUGACCCAGCAACGCCGCGUGAAGGAUGAAGUCUCUCGGGAUGUAAACUUCGUAAGAAUAGGAAGAAUAAAUGACGGUACUAUUUGUAAGGUCCGGCGUAACUACGUGCCAGCAGCCGCGGU